rnacentral:rRNA from 1 species
UGACGGUACCCUUUCGAAUAAGAGGUUGCUAACUCUGUGCCAGCAGCAGCGGUAAUACAGAGACCUCGAGCGUUAUCCGGAUUUACUGGGCGUAAAGCGUCUGUAGGGGGUUUGUUAAGUUCCAAGUAAAAUCUUAAGGCUCAACUUUAAGUUCGCUUGGAAAACUAAUAAACUGGAGUCCAGCAGAGGUGCAUGGAACUUGCGGUGUAGGAGUGAAAUCCGUUGAUAUCGCAAGGAACACCAAAGGCGAAGGCAUUGCACUGGGCUGGUACUGACCCUGAGAGACGAAAGCGUGGGGAGCAAAACGGAUUAGAUACCCGUGUAGUCCACGCCGUAAACGAUGGAUACUAGAUGUUCGGGGAUUCGACCCCCUGGGUGUCACAGCUAACGCGUUAAGUAUCCCGCCUGGGAAGUACGGCCGCAAGGCUAAAACUCAAAGGAAUAGACGGGGAUCCGCACAAGCGGUGGAGCGUCUGGUUUAAUUUGAUAGUAAGCAAUGGACCUCACCAAGGUUUGACAUCCUAUGACAACCCUGGAAACAGGGCUUCCUUCGGGCAUAGUGACAGGUGCUGCAUGGUCGUCGUCAGUUCGUGCCGUGAGGUGUUCCGUUAAGUCGGGAAGCGAACGAAACCCUCGUCGCAUGUUACAAAUUUCAUGCGAGACUGCCCGGGUCAACCGGGAGGAAGGCGGGGAUGACGUCAGAUCAGCAUGGCCCUUAUACCUUGGGCUACACAGGCGCUACAAUGGCCGGUACAAAGGGUUGCAAAACCGCGAGGUGAAGCUAAUCCCAUAAAGCCGGUCCAAGUUCGGAUUGGAGGCUGCAACUCGCCUCCAUGAAGUUGGAAUCGCUAGUAAUCGUGGAUCAGCCAUACCACGGUGAUACGUUCCCGGAUCUUGUACUCACCGCCCGUCACACCAAGAGAGUUGGUAGCUCCACUGAAGCGUCGCAUUAGCGGUACCACGGAGAGAUCAGCGAUAGGGGUGAA